rnacentral:rRNA from 1 species
UACGUAGGGUGGCAAGCGUUGUCCGGAUUUACUGGGCGUAAAGAGCGCGCAGGCGGUCGUUCAAGUCGCGUGUGAAAGCCCCCGGCUCAACUGGGGAGGGUCACGCGAUACUGAUCGACUCGAAGGCAGGAGAGGGAAGUGGAAUUCCCGGUGUAGUGGUGAAAUGCGUAGAUAUCAGGAGGAACACCGGUGGCGAAGGCGGAUCUCUGGGCCUUACCUGACGCUCAGGUGCGAAAGCUAGGGGAGCGAACAGG